UACGGAGGGUGCGAGCGCUAAUCGGAAUUACUGGGCGUAAAGCGCGCGUAGGCGGUUUGGUAAGUCGGAUGUGAAAGCCCCGGGCUCAACCUGGGAAUUGCAUUCGAUACUGUCUGACUAGAGUAUGGUAGAGGGAAGUGGAAUUUCCGGUGUAGCGGUGAAAUGCGUAGAUAUCGGAAGGAACACCAGUGGCGAAGGCGACUUCCUGGGCCUAUAACUGACGCUGAGGCGCGAAAGCGUGGGGAGCAAACAGG
rnacentral:misc_RNA from 1 species